GCAAACUAAUUCUUCGAUAAGUGGAAUGAUGGAGUAACGCCCUGAAACGCUUACAUUGAUACUACGGAUAGCAUCUUAUAUCGCUAAAUAUAGAAUGUUAUAAGCCCGUUGAAGUCGGCUAAGAGCUACCCUAACAUAAGAUGUAUCUUGAUGAGGCAAUGCGAACCAGAGGUGGUCGAGUAGUGAUAGGUCGGGUGUCUAUAAA
rfam:Arcobacter thereius strain 117434 AAX28_contig000001, whole genome shotgun sequence.